AACGAACGCUGGCGGCAUGCCUAACACAUGCAAGUCGAACGAGACCUUCGGGUCUAGUGGCGCACGGGUGCGUAACGCGGGGGAACUUGCCCUUAGGUUCGGAAUAACUCCCCGAAAGGGGUGCUAAUAACGGAUAAUGUCAUCGGACCAACGACUUAUCGCUUUUGGAUGGGGCCGCGUUGGAUUGGGUAGUUGGUAGGGUAAAAGCCUACCAAGGCGACGUUCCAGACCUGGUCUGAGAGGGGGCUCAGCAACGCUUGGACUGCGGCACGGCCUAGAAGCCUACGGGGGGCAGCGGUGGAUAGUAUUGUGCGAGGGACCCUAGUCUGGCACCGCAGUGCCGCGUGUGUGAUCAAUGCCGUAGUGUUGUACUGCUCUUUUACCCGAGGUGUUAAUGACAGUACCGGGAGAAUAAGCUCCGGCUAACUCCGUG
rnacentral:rRNA from 1 species